UUUACCUCCAACACUUUAUCUUUUCUCUCCAGGGAUUCCUUAUUAACCAAGUGGCCAGGUCUGAUAAAUAUCCAUGUUUCCCUGCUCAGACAUUCCCUCCCUGCAUGGUGAUUGGUCAAAGCCCUGCCUGUCAUCUCUCCCUCCAGUGCUUGUCCACUAUGUACAUUACACUGGUGGCCUCCCUCUCACACCAGUCAUCAUUGCCCUCAUUCACUCUUGAUUAAUAUAUCCUCCCUUAUUCUAGAUUUUUGUUAUUAGUUCCAGUUUUAAAUCUGAAUAAGCAGCAAUUGGAUAUGGAUGCUACAAAGAGGGAGCUCAAAGGCACUUAUGUGAUAUUAUUGGUACACAGAAUGACCACAGCAGCAAAAUGGAAGAUGUGCAGAUGCUCUUUGGAGAUAAUGAGGAGCUGGCAAUAUUUUCAUGGUAUAAAUGAAGUAAAAGUUAAAUACUAUUUGUUUUAGGGCCUAAUUUCAUAUUGGGAUAUAAUUACAUCUUGCUCAGGAACAGAUGAGCUGCAUGUGCAGUGCUGCUCUAUUGAGUACAAAGAAACUACAUUGAUAUUGUUUGCAGGUCUUGCAUAACUUACGUCAAAUUGACGAACCUACAUCAUUCUGCUUAUAAAAAUAGUUCAGAUAAAUAAUACGACAGGGAAUUCAAGGGUGAUGUUUGUGAGAAAUAUUUCAAAGUGAGGUUGCCAGGCACAUGAAGAUCCACAUUUGAGAUGGUGUGAGUCAUACUAGCCAACAAAUAUGAAAACUUGAAAAAAAACUAGCACAAAAGGAAAUCUAGAGCUGGUAAAACUUUAUUGAAAAAAAAAAUAUAUAUGGCAUAUUGUGCCAUAUUUUAAUAAGCAAACAAAGAGAAACAACAAAAAUAACACAAACACAUCAAGUAAUACACCAUAAGAUUACAGACACCAGCAAAGCACAGCGACCAAUUAAAACUCAAGACACAGAGCAUUGGGAGGGGCCGUUACAAAGGCUGAUUCCAACUUGACACUUUACAGCUGUUUGGAGAGAACUGGGCUAGCUUUCUCCGAGUGUCAGUGUCCCAUAUACCGGGUGGAGACACACAUGCCCACCACGCCCUUGUCCACAGUUACAACAAUCCACGGCCCCGUAGGAAUGGUGCAAGAUAGGUAAUGACAGCGAGUGAGAGGGAGAGGGUGAAUUACGCUCUCUCUCUCUCAACUACAUUUGUCUUGAUUUUAAGGGCCAGGCCAGAGCCAAAGCUGGGCACCUUGCUUGACACCACCCACUCCAUCUGGCUUCCCAGAGGGUUCUUGCAGGACUGUCUGUGAUGUGUGCUGCUGGGAAUAGUACUGUGAUGGAGGCUGUGAGGCUGGACAGCAGCUUGAGUAUGCAGCACCAGCAGUCUGUCCCAGAUGUGGGGAAGCACCAGUGUGAGGGUGAGAGUCACCUGGAGCCAGGCAGCUCUGUCUGUGGAGGUGAGGUCAAGUUUGAGUCACAGCAGUGUGUCAAAACUGAGCUUAAGCAUCACACCAUGACACACAGUGAUGUUAGAAAUUAUGAAAGUCUAGACCAUGAAAAGAUAUUCACUGAAAAGCCUCACCUCACUGAACACUCUGUGACACGCAGUGAUAUUAGAAAUUAUGAAUGUGUAGAAUGUGGAAAGAAAUUUAUUCGCAAGUCCCACCUCACUGAACACAGCCUGACACACCGUGGUAUUAAAAAUUAUGAAUGUGUAGAAUGUGGACAGAGAUUCACCCAAAAAAUUAAUCUCAACAGACACACCCUGACACAUAGUGAUGUUAGAAAUUAUGAGUGUGUAGAAUGUGGGAAGAAAUUUACCCAAAAGUGUCACCUCAAUGAACACACACUGACACACACCCACAGUGGUAUUAGAAAUUAUGAAUGUUUAGAAUGUGGAAGGAAAUUUACUCACAAGUCCUACCUCACCAAGCACAUCCAAACGCACAGUAGUGUUAAAAAUUAUGAAUGCCUAGAAUGUGGAAAGAAGUUUAAUCGCAAGUCUAGCCUCAGCAGACACUCCAUAACACACAGUGGUGUUGGAAAUUAUGAAUGUGAAGAGUGUGGCAAAACAUUUACUACCAUCACUUAUCUCAAUAAACACACUUUCAGACACACUGGCUUGAGGAAAUUCAAGUGUGAUGUUUGUGGGAAGUGUUUCAAGACAAAGGGUGAGAUUGCCAGGCAUGUGAAGAUCCACAUUUGAAUUAGUGUGUUGUGUAGACAAAUGAGGUCAUACUCAUGCUUUUGUGAAUGUGUCCCAUAUGAGAAUGUGCAGUGUGUUACAUCUGGUGCUAUGUUUAUUGGCAGCUCUGCCCUCCUGUGCUGUGAGGGACUAAUGGCCCUGGCUGUUGUUCUGCUGCCAGGGAUGGUGUAGCUUUCAAUAAAUGUGUAUGGUAAA